UCUCCAGCUGUUUUUGGACUACAGUUCCCAUCAUCCCUGGUCUUGCUAGCUAGGGAUGAUGGGAGUUGUAGUCCAAAAAUAGCUGGAGA